UUGACCUCAAAUCAGGUAGGACUACCCGCUGAACUUAAGCAUAUCAAUAAGCGGAGGAAAAGAAACUAACAAGGAUUCCCCUAGUAACUGCGAGUGAAGCGGGAAAAGCUCAAAUUUGAAAUCUGGCAGUCUUUGAUUGUCCGAGUUGUAAUCUAGAGAAGUUGUUACCUGUGCAGGACCGUGUACAAGUCUCCUGGAAUGGGGCAUCAUAGAGGGUGAGAAUCCCGUCUUUGACAUGGACUACCUGUAUGUUGUGGUGCGCUCUCAAAGAGUCGAGUUGUUUGGGAAUGCAGCUCAAAAUGGGUGGUAAAUGCCAUCUAAAGCUAAAUAUUGGCGAGAGACCGAUAGCGAACAAGUACCGUGAGGGAAAGAUGAAAAGCACUUUGGAAAGAGAGUUAAACAGUACGUGAAAUUGCUGAAAGGGAAACGCUUGAAGUCAGUCACAUUGGCCAGAAAUCAGCCUUGCUUUUGUGAGGUGUACUUUCUGUUUGAUGGGUCAGCAUCAAUUUUGAUCGCUGGAUAAAGUCUCUGGGAAUGUGGCAUCUUCGGAUGUGUUAUAGCCCAUUGUCGUAUGCAGUGGUUGGGAUUGAGGAACUCAGCACGCCGAAAGGCCGGGUUUCGACCAUGUUCGUGCUUAGGAUGCUGGCAUAAUGGCUUUAAUCGACCC
rnacentral:rRNA from 1 species